rnacentral:rRNA from 1 species
UACGGGGGGGGCAAGCGUUGUUCGGAAUCACUGGGCGUAAAGGGCUCGUAGGCGGCCAACUAAGUCAGACGUGAAAUCCCUCGGCUUAACCGGGGAACUGCGUCUGAUACUGGAUGGCUUGAAUCCGGGAGAGGGAUGCGGAAUUCCAGGUGUAGCGGUGAAAUGCGCAGAUAUCGGGAGGAACACCAGUAGCGAAGGCGACACUCUGGGCCGGUACUGACGCUGAGGAGCGAAAGCGUGGGGAGCAAACAGG